CCUACGGGAGGCAGCAGUGAGGAAUAUUGGUCAAUGGCCGUAAGGCUGAACCAGCCAAGUCGCGUGAAGGAAGAAGGAUCUAUGGUUUGUAAACUUCUUUUAUAGGGGAAUAAAGGUAUCCACGUGUGGAUAUUUGCAUGUACCCUAUGAAUAAGCAUCGGCUAACUCCGUGCCAGCAGCCGCGGUAAUACGGAGGAUGCGAGCGUUAUCCGGAUUUAUUGGGUUUAAAGGGUGCGUAGGUUGGUUUUUAAGUCAGCGGUGAAAGUUUGGGGCUCAACCAUAAAAUUGCCGUUGAAACUGGAAGACGUGAGUGUGUUUGAGGUAGGCGGAAUGCGUGGUGUAGCGGUGAAAUGCAUAGAUAUCACGCAGAACUCCGAUUGCGAAGGCAGCUUACUAAGCCAUAACUGACACUGAAGCACGAAAGCGUGGGGAUCAAACAGGAUUAGAUACCCGGGUAGUC
rnacentral:rRNA from 1 species